rnacentral:misc_RNA from 1 species
AGAGUGAAAACUCCCUUAAAACCACUGCAAAUCUACCUGUUGUGUUGCUUCGGCAGGCGGCCCCCGGGGGGGUCGUAGCCCGUAAGGGUGCCUGCCGGAGGUACCUAACUCUGCCGUAACCGUAUUCUGAGCAACUGUCAAAAUAAUCAAAACUUUCAACAACGGAUCUCUUGGUUUGGGCAUCGAUGAAGAACGCAGCGAAAUGCGAUAAGUAAUGUGAAUUGCAGAAUUCAGUGAAUCAUCGAAUCUUUGAACGCACAUUGCGCCCGCCAGCACUCUGGCGGGCAUGCCUGUCCGAGCGUCAUUUCUACCCUCAGGCCCCCUCAAGGGCCUGGCGUUGGGGCCUUCUGCGGGCGGUUCGCCGCCCGCAGGCCCUCAAGAACAGUGGCGGGCUCGCCUGUAACCCGAGCGCAGUAAUACAUCUCGCUCAGGGCUCCCGGCGGGUCUCCGGCCGUUAAACACACCAACUUACAGAAGGUUGACCUCGGAUCAGGUAGGACUACCCGCUGAACUUAAGCAUAUCAAUAAGCGGAGGAAAAGAAACCAACAGGGAUUGCCCUAGUAACGGCGAGUGAAGCGGCAACAGCUCAAAUUUGAAAUCUGGCCCCAGGCCCGAGUUGUAAUUUGGAGAGGAUGCUUUUGGCGCAGCGCCCCCCGAGUUCCCUGGAACGGGACGCCGUAGAGGGUGAGAGCCCCGUACGGGAGGACGCUAAGCCUCUGUAAAGCUCCCUCGACGAGUCGAGUAGUUUGGGAAUGCUGCUCUAAGCGGGAGGUAAAUUUCUUCUAAAGCUAAAUAUUGGCCCAAGACCGAUAGCGCACAAGUAGAGUGAUCGAAAGAUGAAAAGCACUUUGAAAAGAGGGUUAAACAGCACGUGAAAUUGUUGAAAGGGAAGCGCUUGUGACCAGACAUGCGCCCGUCGGAUCAUCCAGCGCUCUGCGCUGGUGCACUCCGGCGGGUUCAGGCCAGCACCGGCCUUCCCAGGCGGAUAAAAACAGCGGGAACGUAGCUCCUUCGGGAGUGUUAUAGCCCGUUGUAGAAUACGCCUGGGGGG